CUUCCCAUUUUACUGCCACUUAUUUGCACUACAGAAUAAGUGGUUAUGCUUAUGGGAUAAAAAAAAACCUGCCAUAGUCUGAAGGAGAAGAACUACACUAUCUUUCUCCUAUAUGAAAUGGCAGAACAUGGCAUU